CCUACGGGAGGCAGCAGUGGGGGAUAUUGCACAAUGGGGGGAACCCUGAUGCAGCGACGCCGCGUGGGUGAAGAAGCGCCUCGGCGCGUAAAGCCCUGUCAGCAGGGAAGAAAGUGACGGAACCUGAAGAAGAAGCCCCGGAUAACUACGUGCAAGCAGCCGCGGGAAUACGUAGGGGGCAAGCGUUGUCCGGCUUUACUGGGUGUAAAGGGGGCGCAGACGGGGAUGCAAGCCAGGAGUGAAAGCACGGGGGCCAACCCAGGGACUGCUCGUGGAACUGCGUGGCUGGAGUGCAGGAGGGGCAGGCGGAAUUCCUGGUGUAGCGGUGAAAUGCGUAGAUAGCUGGAGGAACACCGGUGGCGAAGGCGGCCCGCUGGCUUGCAACUGACGUUGAGGCCCGAAAGCGUGGGGAGCAAACAGGAUUAGAUACCCUAGUAGUC
rnacentral:rRNA from 1 species